rnacentral:tRNA from 1 species
GACGAGAAGACCCUAUGGAGCUUUAAACAAUAUAGCACUUGCCACAAAAAGUAAAAAUUUCCUAAUUACUAAAUUUUCAAAGCAACAUGACUAUGAGUUUUUGGUUGGGGUGACCGCGGAGCAUAAUACAACCUCCAUGCUGGAAGAAUCUUUUUCUAAGCUAAGAACUACUCAUCUAAGCAUCAACAUAUUGACAUCCAUUGACCCAAUACACUUGAACAACGAACCAAGUUACCCUAGGGAUAACAGCGCAAUCCACUUCAAGAGCUCCUAUCGACAAGUGGGUUUACGACCUCGAUGUUGGAUCAGGGUUCCCCAGUGGUGCAGCCGCUACUAACGGUUCGUUUGUUCAACGAUUAAAACCCUACGUGAUCUGAGUUCAGACCGGAGUAAUCCAGGUCAGUUUCUAUCUAUACAUGAGUUUCUUCUAGUACGAAAGGACCGAAGAAACGUGGCCUAUAUUUUCACAAGCCACUGCUACUAAACUAUGACAUAAACUUAAUAGUAUAAUAGCCUGUAACCUCGCUCUAGAUAAGAGCUGUUAACGUAGCAAAACCUGGUAUUGCAAAAGACCUAAACCCUUUCUAUAGAAGUUCAAAUCUUCUCGUUAACU